rnacentral:rRNA from 1 species
UACGGAGGGUGCUAGCGUUAAUCGGAAUUACUGGGCGUAAAGGGCACGUAGGCGGCCUUUUAAGUCAGAUGUGAAAGCCCGGGGCUUAACCUGGGAAUAGCAUUUGAGACUGGGAGUCUAGAGUACUGUAGGGAGGGGUGGAAUUCCACGUGUAGCGGUGAAAUGCGUAGAGAUGUGGAGGAAUACCAGAGGCGAAGGCGGCCCCCUGGGAAUGUACUGACGCUGAUGUGCGAAAGCGUGGGGAGCAAACAGG